GACGAACGCUGGCGGCAGGCCUAACACAUGCAAGUCGAACGAGUGGCGGACGGGUGAGUAAUGUCUGGGAAACUGCCUGAUGGCGGGGGAUAACUACUGGAAACGGUAGCUAAUACCGCAUACCAUCAGAUGUGCCCAGAUGGGAUUAGCUAGUAGGUGGGGUAACGGCUCACCUAGGCGACGAUCCCUAGCUGGUAUGAGAGGAUGACCAGCCACACGGGAACUGAGACACGGUCCAGACUCCGACGGUAGGCAGCAGUGGGGAAUAUUGCACAAUGGGCGCAAGCCUGAUGCAGCCAUGCCGCGUGUGUGAAGAAGGCCUUCGGGUUGUAAAGUACUUUCAGCGGGGAGGCGUUACCCGCAGAAGAAGCACCGGCUAACUCCGUGCCAGCAGCCGCGGUAAUUC
rnacentral:rRNA from 1 species